CUGAUGAGCAACUUUCUAUUGAGGUAUUUGGACAAAAAGUUGGCUACAUACGCGGCUUAGGGCGUGGUCGAAAACCAAGUACAACAUUAUCUGGAAAACUUACCCGUGCCCAACUCGAGAGGGAUAAUGAGGCUGCUACAAGGGAGGCUGAAGAGCAACGAAGAAUCAAUGAGGAGCUGGUGGGAAGAAUUCAAAUCUUGGAGUCUGAUCGCACGGAAUACAAUGCCAAAGUCGACUUCUUGAUGCAGCAGAUCAGUCGAAGAGUACCCUCUACUGAUUCUUCUUCUUAGUCCUGCAAGCUUGCGUUGAUUUAAAGCUUGGGAGCUCUCUGCUAGAUUUUGAAUGUCAUUUUAACGAAACCAUUGAGAAGAAGAUGUGAUGAGUUGAGUUGAGUUGAGUUGUUUUGUUAUGUAGGUAGAUAUAAUUCUAAUAACAAUCUGUUCAUUGAACAGUUGAAUGCUAUAAACAAUGCUUAUAACACUAGCCUUAUAAAUUGGAAAUGAUACUUUUGAAAUCUCUGUCAUAUAUACAAUCAAGAUAUUACGUACUAA